rnacentral:rRNA from 1 species
GCAGGAUACUGUUUUGCUAGAGUUAUAUCGGAGUUACUGGAAUUUGCAGUGUAGGGGUAAAAUCCGUGGAUACCACAAAGAACACCAAGCGCGAAGGCGGGUAACCAGAUAUACACUGACACUGAGAGACGAAAGCUAGGGUAGCAAAUCAGAUUAGAGACCUGAGUAGUCCUAGCUGUAAACAUUGUCCGUUAGUUCUUCUCAAUUUAUUGGGAGGGAUGUUAGCUAACGCGUUAAACGGAUCGCCUGGGGAGUAUAGCCGCAAGGCCGAAACUCAAACGAAUUGGCGGGGAGGCGCACAACCAGUGGAGCAUGUGGUUCAAUUCGAUACAAAGCGAUGAACCUUACCUGGGCUUGAAAUGCACCUGCAGGCUCCUGAAAGGGAGAGUCCUUCGAGGGUGGUGCACAGCUGUUGCAUGGCUGUCGUCAGCUCGUGACGUGAGUUGUUCUCUUAAGUGAGGUAACGAGCGCAACCCCUAUCGUAUGUUACUGUAUCAUACGAGACUGCCCAGCAUUAUUUUGUUGGGAGGAAGGAGGGGACGACGUCAAGUCAUCAUGAUGCUUAUAUCCAGGGCUACACACAUCCUACAAUGGGUUGUACAGAGGGUUGCAAGACCGCAAGGUGGAGCUAAUCCCUAAAACAUCCCUCAGUUGGGAUUGCAGGCUGAAAUUCGCCUGCAUGAACCCGGAAUUGGUAGUAAUCGCAAAUCAGCAGAUUGCGGUGAAUACGUUCUCGCCUCUUGCACACACUGCCCGUCAAAUCAGCAAAGUUGAGGGUACCCGAAGCUCCGCAUUAGCGGAAUCAAGGUAAAUUCAGCGAUGAGGGUUAAGUCGUAACAAGGUAUCCGUACUGGAAGGUGCGGAUG